rnacentral:rRNA from 1 species
CUCCUACGGGAGGCAGCAGUGGGGAAUAUUGGACAAUGGGGGCAACCCUGAUCCAGCAAUGCCGCGUGUGUGAAGAAGGUCUUCGGAUUGUAAAGCACUUUCACUAGGGAAGAUGAUGACGGUACCUAGAGAAGAAGCCCCGGCUAACUACGUGCCAGCAGCCGCGGUAAU